rnacentral:rRNA from 1 species
AUUGAACGCUGGCGGCAGGCCUAACACAUGCAAGUCGAGCGCGGCAGACGGGUGCGUAAUACCUAGGAAUCUGCCUGUUGGAGGUGGAUAGCUACUGGAACCGGUAGCUGAUACCGCAUCCUAUCGCAUUUGCCCAGAUGGGAUUAGCUAGUAGGUGGGGUAAAGGCUAACCUAGGCGACGAUCCCUAGCUGGUCUGAGAGGAUGACCAGCCACACUGGAACUGAGACACGGUCCAGACUCCUACGGGAGGCAGCAGUGGGGAAUAGUGCACAAUGGGCGCAAGCCUGAUGCAGCCAUGCCGCGUGUAUGAAGAAGGCCUUCGGGUUGUAAAGUACUUUCAGCGGGGAGGCGUUACCCGCAGAAGAAGCACCGGCUAACUCCGUGCCAGCAGCCGCGGUAAUUC